rnacentral:rRNA from 2 species
CGCACAGUAAACGAUGAAUACUCGCGGUUGGCGAUACAUUGUCAGCCGCCAAGCGAAAGCGUUAAGUAUUCCACCUGGGGAGUACGCCGGCAACGGUGAAACUCAAAGGAAUUGACGGGGGCCCGCACAAGCGGAGGAACAUGUGGUUUAAUUCGAUGAUACGCGAGGAACCUUACCCGGGCUUGAACUGAGGGGGAAUGAGCCAGAGAUGACUCAGUCUUCGGACUCCCUUGGAGGUGC